GUACUCGAUUCGGCAGCACACAUACUAAAAUUCCAACGUUACAGACAAGAUUAGCAUGGCCUGGGCAAGGGUGACACACAGAUUCAAGAAGCCUUCCAUAUUUCU